UACGGAGGGGGCUAGCGUUGUUCGGAAUUACUGGGCGUAAAGGGCGCGUAGGCGGUUGGAUAAGUCAGCUGUGAAAACCACGGGCUUAACUCGUGGCCUGCAGUUGAGACUGUCUGGCUUGAGUGUGGGAGAGGAGAGUGGAAUUCCAGGUGUAGCGGUGAAAUGCGUAGAUAUCUGGAGGAAUACCGGUGGCGAAGGCGGCAUCCUGGACCGGCAUUGACGCUGAGGAGCGAAAGCCAGGGGAGCAAACGGG
rnacentral:rRNA from 1 species